rnacentral:rRNA from 1 species
UACGGAGGGUGCGAGCGUUAAUCGGAAUUACUGGGCGUAAAGCGUGCGUAGGCGGUUGUCUAAGUCAGAUGUGAAAGCCCCGGGCUUAACCUGGGAACUGCAUUUGAUACUGGAUGACUAGAGUUUAAUAGAGGAGAGUGGAAUUUCAGGUGUAGCGGUGAAAUGCGUAGAGAUCUGAAGGAACACCAGUGGCGAAGGCGACUCUCUGGAUUAAAACUGACGCUGAGGUACGAAAGCGUGGGUAGCAAACAGG